UACGGGGGGGGCAAGCGUUGUUCGGAAUUACUGGGCGUAAAGGGCGCGUAGGCGCUUCGCUAAGUUGGAUGUGAAAACUCUUGGCUCAACCCAGAGCCUGCAUCCAAAACUGGCGGGCUAGAGUUCUGGAGGGGGUAGCGGAAUUCCUGGUGUAGCGGUGAAAUGCGUAGAGAUCAUGAGGAAGACCAGUGGCGAAGGCGGGUCUCUGGACAGUUCCUGACACUGAGACACGAAGGCCAGGGGAGCAAACGGG
rnacentral:rRNA from 1 species